UACGGGGGUGGCAAGCGUUGUUCGGAAUUACUGGGCGUAAAGGGCGCGUAGGCGGGGAGGUAAGUCGGGUGUGAAAUCCCUCGGCUCAACCGAGGAACUGCGCCCGAGACCGCCUUUCUUGAGUCCCGGAGAGGAAGGUGGAAUUCCCGGUGUAGCGGUGAAAUGUGUAGAGAUCGGGAGGAACACCGGUGGCGAAGGCGGCCUUCUGGACGGUGACUGACGCUGAGGCGCGAAAGCGUGGGGAGCAAACGGG
rnacentral:rRNA from 1 species